UACGGGGGGAGCAAGCGUUGUUCGGAUUUACUGGGCGUAAAGGGCGCGUAGGCGGCCAGCACAAGUCAGUUGUGAAAUCUCCGAGCUUAACUCGGAAAGGUCAACUGAUACUGUGCGGCUAGAGUGCAGAAGGGGCAACUGGAAUUCUUGGUGUAGCGGUGAAAUGCGUAGAUAUCAAGAGGAACACCUGCGGCGAAGGCGGGUUGCUGGGCUGACACUGACGCUGGAGGCGCGAAAGCCUAGGGGAGCGAACGGG
rnacentral:rRNA from 1 species